rnacentral:sRNA from 1 species
CUGUGAUUGUAGAAGAAGACGCAAAACUACUGUAUAAAGCAGGGGAGAAAAAGAUAGGAACUGAUGAGGAGAUGUUCAUCAAGAUUUUUAGUGAGAAAAGUAGCACACAUUUGGCUGCUGUUAACUCAGCUUACAUAGCUUCACAUGGACACUCACUUGAAAAGGCAAUAAAGAAAGAAACAUCUGGCUCUUUUCGAUAUGACCUCUUGAC